ACUUUAACACUGAGGCGUGACGACGAGGCACUACGGUGCUGAAGCAACAAAUGCCCUGCUUCCAGGAAAAGCCUCUAAGCAUCAGGUAACAUCAAAUCGUACCCCAAACCGACACAGGUGGUCAGGUAGAGAAUACCAAGGCGCUUGAGAGAACUCGGGUGAAGGAACUAGGCAAAAUGGUGCCGUAACUUCGGGAGAAGGCACGCUGACACGUAGGUGAAGUGAUUUACUCACGGAGCUGAAGUCAGCCGAAGAUACCAGCUGGCUGCAACUGUUUAUUAAAAACACAGCACUGUGCAAACACGAAAGUGGACGUAUACGGUGUGACGCCUGCCCGGUGCCGGAAGGUUAAUUGAUGGGGUCAGCGCAAGCGAAGCUCCUGAUCGAAGCCCCGGUAAACGGCGGCCGUAACUAUAACGGUCCUAAGGUAGCGAAAUUCCUUGUCGGGUAAGUUCCGACCUGCACGAAUGGCGUAAUGAUGGCCAGGCUGUCUCCACCCGAGACUCAGUGAAAUUGAACUCGCUGUGAAGAUGCAGUGUACCCGCGGCAAGACGGAAAGACCCCGUGAACCUUUACUAUAGCUUGACACUGAACAUUGAGCCUUGAUGUGUAGGAUAGGUGGGAGGCUUUGAAGUGUGGACGCCAGUCUGCAUGGAGCCGACCUUGAAAUACCACCCUUUAAUGUUUGAUGUUCUAACGUGGACCCGUGAUCCGGGUUGCGGACAGUGUCUGGUGGGUAGUUUGACUGGGGCGGUCUCCUCCUAAAGAGUAACGGAGGAGCACGAAGGUUGGCUAAUCCUGGUCGGACAUCAGGAGGUUAGUGCAAUGGCAUAAGCCAGCUUGACUGCGAGCGUGACGGCGCGAGCAGGUGCGAAAGCAGGUCAUAGUGAUCCGGUGGUUCUGAAUGGAAGGGCCAUCGCUCAACGGAUAAAAGGUACUCCGGGGAUAACAGGCUGAUACCGCCCAAGAGUUCAUAUCGACGGCGGUGUUUGGCACCUCGAUGUCGGCUCAUCACAUCCUGGGGCUGAAGUAGGUCCCAAGGGUAUGGCUGUUCGCCAUUUAAAGUGGUACGCGAGCUGGGUUUAGAACGUCGUGAGACAGUUCGGUCCCUAUCUGCCGUGGGCGCUGGAGAACUGAGGGGGGCUGCUCCUAGUACGAGAGGACCGGAGUGGACGCAUCACUGGUGUUCGGGUUGUCAUGCCAAUGGCACUGCCCGGUAGCUAAAUGCGGAAGAGAUAAGUGCUGAAAGCAUCUAAGCACGAAACUUGCCCCGAGAUGAGUUCUCCCUGAGACUUUAGGUCUCCUGAAGGAACGUUGAAGACGACGACGUUGAUAGGCCGGGUGUGUAAGCGCAGCGAUGCGUUGAGCUAACCGGUACUAAUGAACCGUGAGGCUUAACCUUACAACGCCGAAG
rnacentral:rRNA from 1 species